GAAAAUGCAUAUUCGAACUUUGAAAAUAACAUUAUUAAAAGGAAUAAUCACGAAUUUCGAAUAUAAACAAUAAAAUAAAAAUAGAGAAUAUAAAAAAAACAAAUUCAUAUGAAUAUACAACACCAUAAAUAUAAUUAUAAAAAAAGCAUAAGAAUAAAGAAAUUAACAUGUCUAGAUGUUCAUGAGUAUGAUGAUGAACCAUUCAAAUUAACGGCCAUGGCCAUGACUUGCAUGUGCAGCAUCUGGAGGUGGUUUAACGUGGAUUAGGUUUCUUCGAAUCUCUUCAUUGACUUUCGUUCCUACAAUUAUACUCAAAAAAACAAGAUCAUUGAAGAACCCAAAACAGAAAUAUUUUUGAAGUUAUAAGUAUCUAUAGUUGUUUUAGUGAAUUAGUAUUAUGGGUUAAUUAGACAUCAAUUCAGUUAUUAAAUUAUUAAAUUGUCCUCUCUUAUUAGCAUAUGCGUUCACUUAAUUCGGGUCCAACACUUAAAAUAUCCUUUCAUAUAUAGAUUAAUUUUUAUUUUUAUGAGAGUGUUUUUAUCUUUUUAUAAAAAAAGUCAAUAAAAAUUUAAUCAUAAUGGGAUUAAUUUGGACUACAACACCAUAACUAAAGCAUUCAUUGAUUUCUAUAUAAAUUUUUAAUAAAUAUAUCUAUUAUAUAAAUAUUUUUCAUUCAAGUCGUGACUAUACUAGAAAUCUAAUAAUUAUAUAUAUAAUUACAAUUACAAUUGAUAUCAAAACAUAUUCAAAUCUAAACUGAACAAAAAUUAAAUCAAAAUAAAUUUGAAGAGAAUCCAAAAAUGAUUUACGUGCUAUUCAACAAGUUUCAACUUUAUUAUUAAACAAGACUUCAUUGGGAAAAAGAAAAAACUACUAAUAGUAAUUAAGAAGGAGGUUUCGUAUACACUUACCGAAUAAACGACUGUUUGUGGUUGAAAUUGGAGGCGAUAGUAGUGAAAAUGAUAGGAAGAAAACAAGUAUAGAAAGCACAAGUGAUUUCAUAAAGGGCAUGUUUGGUUGCCGAGAAACUGAUUUCUAGGCAGAAGCAAAUGGCAGCUUUGAAC
rnacentral:lncRNA from 1 species